AUUGAACGCUGGCGGCAGGCCUAACACAUGCAAGUCGAGCGGAGCGGCGGACGGGUGAGUAAUGCCUAGGAAUCUGCCUGGUAGUGGGGGACAAGGUCAGGAAACGGGCGAUAAUAACGAAUACUAUACGAGGAGGCUAGGUCGGAUUAGUUAGUUGGUGGGGUAAAGGCCUACCAAGGCGACGAUCCGUAACUGGUCUGAGAGGAUGAUCAGUCACACUGUAACUUAGACACGGUCCAGACUCCUACGGGAGGCAGCAGUGGGGAAGAUUGGACAAUGGGCGAAAGCCUGAUCCAGCCAUGCCGCGUGUGUGAAGAAGGUCUUCGGAUUGUAAAGCACUUUAAGUUGGGAGGCGUUACCAACAGAAUAAGCACCGGCUAACUUCGUGCCAGCAGCCGCGGUAAUAC
rnacentral:rRNA from 1 species